rnacentral:misc_RNA from 1 species
CUGUUUAAACUUUAUUUUCCGACGUGUCCAUUCUGCCACGAACACGUCAACAGGUAUACACGCAUACACAACCACAGGUCUCCUGCCUCUGUGGCACUGCAGCUGUGCCAGGGAACCGGCCCGUCAGCGCCGCGUGACGUCGUUCAGUUCAUUGCAAUGCCACUGCCUCACAGCGCAGGCAAGGUCCCGGCUCGCGCUCAACAUCACCGCAGCGCAGCCAAAGGCAGAGACAAAGAAAAGAGCAGUGGUUGUAUGUGUACAUUUGUUGAAUCAUCGACACGAUUUCGUAGUGAGCUGGUCCUAACCUGAUUAUCUCAUGCCCACGUGUCUCUUCCGCACAGCGCCAGCUCAGACCGCUCCGCGGGCACCAAGAGCCCCCGCAGCUGUAGCCGAGGGCAGGAUAUGCAGGCUGCUUGGCCUCCCCACAUAAAGAGUAGGCACCGCACCCUGAAUACUACGGUGCGGCAGCUCGCAUCAUGAGGGCCCACGUUGACAGCAACGAAAAACAGAGCGAAGAGCUGCAGGGAGGCGGAAGAGUACCGAGGAGAGGAGGGGCGGGCGGGGGGGUGCGCACACGCAAGGACGCACUCCCCCCGGCCCACCCCAUCAAGUCACCUUUUCCAUUUUGUCUUUUCGAACACUAACAGGAAGAAAUAAUAAUUCAUAAAAUGUGAUCAACGAUGUGUGUGCGGGAAAGAAAAGCGAACGGAGCGUUGAAGCGAGACUCUCGUCAGUGCCGUACGAGGCAGGCUUCGAAGGCGGAGCGGCUGAGAGGGAGAGAUGGAGGGAGGGAGGGAGGGGACCAAGCGAUGAUGGCUAGGAGAUCUGCAGCAUUUGCCGGCGGCUGCCAUAUGCCCGUCGCCUUCUCCUUCCUCCUCACAUUGGGCUGCGCUCUACCUCCGAGAGGAGCAGGCCUGGGGUGUGAUCUGACCCCUCUGCGUGUGUGGGUGUGUGGGUGACAUGACGUGAGAUGUGUGAGCUGACGUGUGCCUCUGGCAUGACGCGGUGACCCAUACGUGCGAUGUCAGCCCUGCCUGCUCUCUUGCUGCUCGCCCCCCUCCCCUUUUACUUCACUCACCUUCCCCAAGCGCUUCUCACUUCACAGUGAUGCUGCGUGUGACUGGGCUCUCGCUAUCCGUCUGCACCUCUGUGCAGACGGUUUUGUGUGCACAGGCGCGCACAUGCGCAAGAGGCACCCCAGCUGUGAUCCAGUGCAUGUACUCCUGCGACCUCUCUCUCCCUGCGCGUUGCUACACGUGGUUUCUCUUGUGUGCAAUGGUGCCGCUUGGCCCCUCCCUCUCUUUCUCUCACGCCGUCCGUACCACCACCACCACCACCCCUCUCCAUUCAACUCUUGUAUGUGACACACACACACACACACACACACACACACACAUGCGCGUCUCUCUUCGCGGACUCCCACCAUUCCCCUCUGCCUGCUGACACGCGGAGAAAG